AGACCCGAAACCCGGUGAUCUAGCCAUGGGCAGGUUGAAGGUUGGGUAACACUAACUGGAGGACCGAACCGACUAAUGUUGAAAAAUUAGCGGAUGACCUGUGGCUGGGGGUGAAAGGCCAAUCAAACCGGGAGAUAGCUGGUUCUCCCCGAAAGCUAUUUAGGUAGCGCCUCGUGAAUUCAUCUCCGGGGGUAGAGCACUGUUUCGGCUAGGGGGCCAUCCCGGCUUACCAACCCGAUGCAAACUGCGAAUACCGGAGAAUGUUAUCACGGGAGACACACGGCGGGUGCUAACGUCCGUCGUGAAGAGGGAAACAACCCAGACCGCCAGCUAAGGUCCCAAAGUCAUGGUUAAGUGGGAAACGAUGUGGGAAGGCCCAGACAGCCAGGAUGUUGGCUUAGAAGCAGCCAUCAUUUAAAGAAAGCGUAAUAGCUCACUGGUCGAGUCGGCCUGCGCGGAAGAUGUAACGGGGCUAAACCAUGCACCGAAGCUGCGGCAGCGAACGUAUCACCCAAGACAACUUUACGGAGUUGACGAUUGACGGAGCGAAGCGACGUCAAAGCGUUCAUUAAAGUCGAGUUGGCUUAGGGAUACGUUCGUUGGGUAGGGGAGCGUUCUGUAAGCCUGUGA
rnacentral:rRNA from 1 species